rnacentral:rRNA from 1 species
UACGUAGGAGACGAGCGUUGUCCGGAAUUACUGGGCGUAAAGCGCGUGUAGGCGGAUGAGCAAGUCUGCUGUGAAAGCUCCUGGCUUAACCGGGAGUGGUCGGUGGAAACUGCUCGUCUGGAGGACGGUAGAGGUAGGUAGAAUUCCCGGUGUAGUGGUGAAAUGCGUAGAGAUCGGGAGGAAUACCUGUGGCGAAGGCGGCCUACUGGGCCGGACCUGACGCUGAGACGCGAAGGCGUGGGGGAGCGAACGGG